rnacentral:rRNA from 1 species
AGAGUUUGAUCAUGGCUCAGGACGAACGCUGACGGUGUGCUUUAGACAUGCAAGUCGAACGAGAAAGCCCUUCGGGGUGAGUACAGUGGCGAACGGGUGAGUAACACGUGGGCAAUCUACCCCCCGCAGGGGGAUAACCGGGGGGAACCCCGGCUAAUACCCCGUACGCUUGCGGAGUCGCAUGGCUCCACAAGGAGAGGUAGCUUCGGCCAUCCGGCGAGGGAUGAGCCCGCGGUACAUUAGCUAGUUGGUGGGGUAACGGCCCACCAAGGCGACGAUGUAUAGCUGGUCUGAGAGGAUGAUCAGCCACACUGGGACUGAGACACGGCCCAGACUCCUACGGGAGGCAGCAGUCGGGAAUCUUGCGCAAUGGGCGAAAGCCUGACGCAGCAACACCGUGUGAGCGACGAAGGCCUUCGGGUCGUAAAGCUCUGUUGUUGGGGACGAAGGGUUAGGGGUUAAUAGCCCCAAACCUGACGGUACCCUUCGAGGAAGCCCCGGCUAACUACGUGCCAGCAGCCGCGGUAAUACGUAGGGGGCGAGCGUUGUCCGGAAUUAUUGGGCGUAAAGAGCGUGUAGGCGGUUCGGUAAGUCUGCCGUGAAAACCCAGGGCUCAACCCUGGGCGUGCGGUGGAUACUGCCGGGCUAGAGGGUGGUAGAGGCGAGUGGAAUUCCCGGUGUAGCGGUGAAAUGCGCAGAUAUCGGGAGGAACACCAGUAGCGAAGGCGGCUCGCUGGGCCAUACCUGACGCUGAGACGCGAAAGCGUGGGGAGCAAACAGGAUUAGAUACCCCGGUAGUCC